GUUCAUAUAGCUCAGCAGUCCAGCACCUGCCUGGCAAGUAUGAGGCCCUGGGUUUGAUUCCCAGUAACCACC
rnacentral:tRNA from 1 species